GAGAGAAAACUUAAAAAAAGAAAAAGAAAAAAAAAGCUAAAGACACGGAUCUUUCGCCAUUUUCGUAAAUGGGAGUCACAAGAGAGUCGUAAAUGGCAGAACAAAUCCCUUACAUUCACUUUUGUUGCUCUAAAACUUAAUAUUACUUCUUAUCUCUUUCUUUUUAUUUUUUAUAUAUUCUGUUUAAAGAUGGCAGACAUAAUACGGAACCAAUGAUUCUUUUCGUCAAACCCCAAUGCUUUUUCUAUCCUUGAUGUUUUGAAGGCAAUGAAACUGAAUCAAUUGAUUAUGACUUUCGAGAAGCAAGUAAAUAAUUAUAAAUAAUCUAGACUUCUUGUUUGAACAAAAA
rnacentral:lncRNA from 1 species